rnacentral:piRNA from 1 species
UCCUGCCAACGCCUCGGGGUACCUUACU